AUACGGAGGGUGCGAGCGUUAAUCGGAAUCACUGGGCGUAAAGGGCGCGUAGGCGGCUGCGCAAGUCAGAUGUGAAAGCCCACGGCUUAACCGUGGAGUUGCAUCUGAAACUGCGUGGCUUGAGUAUGGGAGAGGAAAGUGGAAUUCCCGGUGUAGAGGUGAAAUUCGUAGAUAUCGGGAGGAACACCAGUAGCGAAGGCGACUUUCUGGCCCAAUACUGACGCUGAGGCGCGAAAGCGUGGGGAGCAAACAGGAUUAGAUACCCUGGUAGUCCACAGCCGUAAACGAUGUGCACUAGGUGUAGGAGGUGUUGACUCCUUCUGUGCCGCAGCUAACGCAUUAAGUGCACCGCCUGGGGAGUACGGCCGCAAGGUUAAA
rnacentral:rRNA from 1 species